AUGAUCCCUGCAGCUCUGCUUAUGCUGUUGGCAGCCUCCAGUGUGAGGAGUGAUGUGGUACUCACUCAGCCGAGUUCCAUGAUGACACAGCCUGGCCAGAGUUUUAGUCUCACCUGCAAAGUUGCUGGGUAUGACCUGACAAGUAGCUGUUGUUGUACAUCAUGGAUACGGCAGCCUGCAGGAAAAGCACCGGAGUGGAUUGGAUAUAUAUGUUUCGAUGGGAGCACAUAUUACAGUGAUCAACUGAAAAACAAGUUCAGCAUCUCCAGAGACACCUCCAGCAGCACUGUGACUCUACAGGCCCAGAAUCUACAGGCUGGAGACACAGCUGUGUAUUACUGUGCCCGAUAUCACUGUUGUACAAACUAA